UCGGCGUAGCAGACGAUUGCUUGAAAACAAGAGGAAAGUCCGGGCUACAUUGGGGUAAGGAUUCAGGUUAACGACCUGCCGUCGAAAGACGAGGGAAAGCGCAACAGAAAAUAGACUACCGUGUAUCACGGAAAAGGUGAAACGGUGAGGUAAGAGCUCACCGACGCUAUGGCGACAUAGCGUGCAAUGCAAGCCCAAUCCGUAGCAAGAAGAGGUGGUAAAAGCCCCAAGUUAUGCUCUUCGCAUGAGUUUUAUAGCGAUAUGAAACCUAGAUAAAUAGUCGUCUAAACAGAACCCGGCUUACAGCUACGCCUUUUUG
rnacentral:RNase_P_RNA from 1 species